rnacentral:rRNA from 1 species
AGUGAACGCUGGCGGUAGGCCUAACACAUGCAAGUCGAACGGCAGCACAGUAAGAGCUUGCUCUUACGGGUGGCGAGUGGCGGACGGGUGAGGAAUACAUCGGGAUCUACUUUUUCGUGGGGGUUCACGUAGGGAAACUUACGCUAAUACCGCAUACGACCUACGGGUGAAAGCAGGGGAUCUUCGCACCUUGCGCGAAUGAAUGAGCCGAUGUCGGAUUAGCUAGUUGGCGGGGUAAAGGCCCACCAAGGCGACGAUCCGUAGCUGGUCUGAGAGGAUGAUCAGCCACACUGGAACUGAGACACGGUCCAGACUCCUACGGGAGGCAGCAGUGGGGAAUAGUGGACAAUGGGCGCAAGCCUGAUCCAGCCAUACCGCGUGUGUGAAGAAGGCCUUCGGGUUGUAAAGCCCUUUUGUUGGGAAAGAAAAGCAGCAGGUUAAUACCCCGCUGUUCUGACGGUACCCAAAGAAUAAGCACCGGCUAACUUCGUG